rnacentral:rRNA from 1 species
GAUGAACGCUGGCGGCGUGCCUAAUACAUGCAAGUCGAGCGAACGGACGAGAAGCUUGCUUCUCUGAUGUUAGCGGCGGACGGGUGAGUAACACGUGGAUAACCUACCUAUAAGACUGGGAUAACUUCGGGAAACCGGAGCUAAUACCGGAUAAUAUUUUGAACCGCAUGGUUCAAAAGUGAAAGACGGUCUUGCUGUCACUUAUAGAUGGAUCCGCGCUGCAUUAGCUAGUUGGUAAGGUAACGGCUUACCAAGGCAACGAUGCAUAGCCGACCUGAGAGGGUGAUCGGCCACACUGGAACUGAGACACGGUCCAGACUCCUACGGGAGGCAGCAGUAGGGAAUCUUCCGCAAUGGGCGAAAGCCUGACGGAGCAACGCCGCGUGAGUGAUGAAGGUCUUCGGAUCGUAAAACUCUGUUAUUAGGGAAGAACAUAUGUGUAAGUAACUGUGCACAUCUUGACGGUACCUAAUCAGAAAGCCACGGCUAACUACGUGCCAGCAGCCGCGGUAAUACGUAGGUGGCAAGCGUUAUCCGGAAUUAUUGGGCGUAAAGCGCGCGUAGGCGGUUUUUUAAGUCUGAUGUGAAAGCCCACGGCUCAACCGUGGAGGGUCAUUGGAAACUGGAAAACUUGAGUGCAGAAGAGGAAAGUGGAAUUCCAUGUGUAGCGGUGAAAUGCGCAGAGAUAUGGAGGAACACCAGUGGCGAAGGCGACUUUCUGGUCUGUAACUGACGCUGAUGUGCGAAAGCGUGGGGAUCAAACAGGAUUAGAUACCCUGGUAGUCCACGCCGUAAACGAUGAGUGCUAAGUGUUAGGGGGUUUCCGCCCCUUAGUGCUGCAGCUAACGCAUUAAGCACUCCGCCUGGGGAGUACGACCGCAAGGUUGAAACUCAAAGGAAUUGACGGGGACCCGCACAAGCGGUGGAGCAUGUGGUUUAAUUCGAAGCAACGCGAAGAACCUUACCAAAUCUUGACAUCCUUUGACAACUCUAGAGAUAGAGCCUUCCCCUUCGGGGGACAAAGUGACAGGUGGUGCAUGGUUGUCGUCAGCUCGUGUCGUGAGAUGUUGGGUUAAGUCCCGCAACGAGCGCAACCCUUAAGCUUAGUUGCCAUCAUUAAGUUGGGCACUCUAAGUUGACUGCCGGUGACAAACCGGAGGAAGGUGGGGAUGACGUCAAAUCAUCAUGCCCCUUAUGAUUUGGGCUACACACGUGCUACAAUGGACAAUACAAAGGGCAGCGAAACCGCGAGGUCAGGCAAAUCCCAUAAAGUUGUUCUCAGUUCGGAUUGUAGUCUGCAACUCGACUGCAUGAAGCUGGAAUCGCUAGUAAUCGUAGAUCAGCAUGCUACGGUGAAUACGUUCCCGGGUCU